AACUCAUAACGGUGGAUGUCUCGGCUUCUCAAUCGAUGAAGGACGCGGCAACAUGCGAUAAAUUCGUAUGAAUUGCAGAAUCAAGCGUAUUAUCAAACCUUUGAACGCAACAUGCGUGCUGGGUCUUAACUCAAGCACGUCCACGGUUCAGUGCCGAUAACUGUGUUGGGGACAAAUAAGGCCCUUAAAUACUUGGUUUCGUACCAAUAACUUCUCUUCAAGGCCUGAACUGUGGUCGACCACCCGCUGAACUUAAGCAUAUCAUUAAGCGGAGGAAAAGAAAACAACUGUGAUUCCCCUAGUAGCGGCGAGCGAAGAGGGAAAAGCCCAAGCCGAAUCGGAUCACAUCCGAAUUGUGGAGUAUGAAGUUCCUUGUAUUUCCGUAUGCUGGAAAAGUCUUCCUGGAAAGGAGCGCCCUAGAGGGUGAUAGCCCCGUUUUCUGGCCGCUACGUGAAACAACACCUUGGAACUUUCGGAGUAGUACUGCUUGGGAAUGCAGUGCGAAUGGCAGGUAUACCUCUGCCAAGGCUAAAUAUCGUGAGAAGACCGAUAGCGCACAAGUAGCGUGAGCGAAAGAUGAAAAGCACUUUGGAGAGAGAGUGAAACAGUACCUGAAGCCGUUAUGAGGUAA
rnacentral:misc_RNA from 1 species